GAUGAACGCUGGCGGCGUGCCUAAUACAUGCAAGUCGAGCGAACAGAUGAGGAGCUUGCUCCUCUGACGUUAGCGGCGGACGGGUGAGUAACACGUGGAUAACCUACCUAUAAGACUGGGAUAACUUCGGGAAACCGGAGCUAAUACCGGAUAAUAUAUUGAACCGCAUGGUUCAAUAGUGAAAGACGGUUUUGCUGUCACUUAUAGAUGGAUCCGCGCCGCAUUAGCUAGUUGGUAAGGUAACGGCUUACCAAGGCAACGAUGCGUAGCCGACCUGAGAGGGUGAUCGGCCACACUGGAACUGAGACACGGUCCAGACUCCUACGGGAGGCAGCAGUAGGGAAUCUUCCGCAAUGGGCGAAAGCCUGACGGAGCAACGCCGCGUGAGUGAUGAAGGUCUUCGGAUCGUAAAACUCUGUUAUUAGGGAAGAACAAAUGUGUAAGUAACUAUGUACGUCUUGACGGUGCCUAAUCAGAAAGCCACGGCUAACUACGUG
rnacentral:rRNA from 1 species